UACGGGGGGGGCUAGCGUUGUUCGGAAUUACUGGGCGUAAAGGGCGCGUAGGCGGCCUACUAAGUCGGACGUGAAAUCCCACGGCUCAACCGUGGAAGUGCCUUUGAUACUGCCGGUCUUGAGGGAGGUAGGGGCGUGCGGAACUUCCGGUGGAGCGGUGAAAUGCGUAGAUAUCGGAAGGAACACCGGUGGCGAAAGCGGCGCGCUGGACCUCUUCUGACGCUGAGGCGCGAAAGCCAGGGGAGCAAACGGG
rnacentral:rRNA from 1 species